CUGUGGGAAAUCUGUUGUCUCAUGCUGAGCCCAGGCAGAAGCCACGAAGAGCCUGAAUGUCGCUCAGUGAGCAGGGUAAAUAGUUUCUAAAUGAAUUCAGCCAAGCACAGGAAUUGUUCAAAAUAUUGCAACCUUGGUCAACCCAUUGGAAAGCAGGGCUGGUGCAAAUGAUAGGGGGACUUAUAAUCUGAUAGACAGAGCACCUGCAUUAAUCUGAAAAAUGAUCAGAUUAUUUUAAAUCUUAGAACACGUACACUAGCACUUAUGUGAAUAGGGGGUUAAGUUUUUCCUAAGUUUCCUUUCCAAGGCCUGUGGGAAGCAAUUGAGGAGGUGACUCAGCUGUGAACCCAGCAAGCAGAACCAAUAAGCAUGAUCAGACCGAGCCACCAGGAGUCAAAGCAUCAUCUCAUCAACAUCAUCUCAUUACCUGAUGAUUAAGGACAAUAGCUCACAUCUGGGGACCUCCAGGGCUGUGCAUAGCUGCAUUCCAUUCCAGCCUCACCCCAGCCCCUUCCCCUGUAUAACCCUGUCCCCCAGUGGAAUGCUUGUAAGCGCCCUCUCUUCUCGGUUGGCUGGCCUUCUCAAUAAAUGUCUUCUAUGAUUCAAAAAAGAAGAA